AACGAACGCUGGCGGCAUGCCUAACACAUGCAAGUCGAACGAUGGUCUUCGGCUUAUAGUGGCGCACGGGUGCGUAACGCGUGGGAAUCCGCCCGUGUGUUCGGAAUAACAGUUGGAAACGACUGCUAAUACCGGAUGAUGUCGCUAAGACCAAAGAUUUAUCGCCCGAGGAUGAGCGCGCGUCGGAUUAGCUAGUUGGUGGGGUAAAGGCUUACCAAGGCGACGAUCCGUAGCUGGCCUGAGAGGAUGUUCAGCCACACUGGGACUGAGACACGGCCCAGAAUCCUACGGGAGGGAGCAGAAGGGUGUAUUAGACAAGGGGCGCGAGUCUAGUACAGCCGUGCCGCGUAAGUGAUGAUGGGCUUAGGGUUGUAAAGCUCUUUUACCCGGGAAGUUAAUGACUGUAACGGGAAAAUAAGCCCCGGCUAACUCCGUG
rnacentral:rRNA from 1 species